UCUGACAUGGGCGCAUGGGAGAGUUGAAUACUACUUGAAUAAGGCGUUGUUAAUCAAGCGGGAUACUAUGAGACGUGUGUUCGACUCUCCUGAUAAGUGAUAAGCAAAGCUAGUUCUGUCAAAAACGAUGCCCAAGCAACCAUGUGUCUGAUUUCUUAUAAUUACCCCAGAGCUUUCUCAAUUGGAGAUUAAAAGCUAGUCGCGUGUCGUUAUCGUCCUAAUGAUUCUAUCAGUUGAGAGGUGGGAAAGAAAGCUCGGAUAGUGAUUAUAACAAGUACUUACACACUCACCCAACCAGGGAGUUUUUCGGGAAUUGAUUGGCAGACUGCGAAACACUAAACAUUCCUGGUGCCUAGUGGUGGUUUCGACUUCCAAGAUCUAUAUCAACCUUCACACUUUUUAAAUGUAGGAACGGGAAACCCAGGAAUUGUAUUAGGAUCAAGGCCACGAUUUUCCCUCUUCCUCUCUGCUAUGCUGACCCAUGGCGCCAUUGUUGCUCAUCACAAAAAGUGACGCGUACUCCAUGCUGACUUUUCAGCAUAGAGUGGCAGAGAAGAAAUAACUAGAAUUCAAUAUAAGCUGUGAUGUGUAAGUCGAACAGCAAUUAUCAUCAAUCAAGCAAUUAUUCAUCUGUUUUAUUCAUUGUAUGCAAUUUUUUAUCUAAUCUAACCAAGACUUGUCUGAUACUGUGAUUCGAGCAAGAAAAAACUUGUUGUGUGAUGGUUGUAGUUGGGGCACUUGGUAAUGAGGUUGAUUGUGAAUCGUAUUUUUGUGUCAAUCCAAAUCAAACUCAAUCAGGUACUAUAUUUUUAUAUUGUAAGUGCUUCGAUUUCCUAUAGAAUGAGAUGCUACAACUGUGUGCACAUCAUGAAAUGAAUAUGGAUUGAUCAUAUGUUUGAACUUACAAACUUAGAUAAGGUUGCAGAGGAAUAUUUGCAAGAAAAGCAGACUGUCCUUGAAACGGUUCGAAAUGGGAGAUUUAUUCAUUCACCGAAGAAACGAGUCAAAUAUCCAUUGG